AGUAGGUAUUGGAGGUCGUUUGGAUGUUGAUACAAAUUUUGGCAUUAGAAAAGCUUUUCUUUCUCAGGUAUAUUGAGAUGAUUUCUUUGGAGCAAUUCUUGACAACAUUUGUAGUUGAGGCCUUUAGAAUGGAAGAAUGCAUUUCACUAAUUUUUGUAUACAUUUCUUGUUUUGUAUUUAGUGAUAAAGGAAUCUGAAUUAGGCAUAAAUUAUGUUGUAAUAUGAUUUCUUAAGCCUAGACUAGUAGACUAAAUAUUGUAAUUACAUUUGAGUAAUUAAUAAAAAUUUAUUUAUGUUACCUUA